rnacentral:rRNA from 1 species
GACAGAGGGUGCAAACGUUGCUCGGAAUUACUGGGCGUAAAGCGCGUGUAGGCGGACUGACAAGUCGGACGUGAAAUCCCUGAGCUCAACUCAGGAACUGCAUCCGAAACUGUCAGUCUUGAGUGGUGGAGAGGGAAGCAGAAUUCCUGGUGUAGAGGUGAAAUUCGUAGAUAUCAGGAGGAACACCGGUGGCGAAGGCGGCUUCCUGGACACUUACUGACGCUGAGACGCGAAAGCGUGGGGAGCAAACAGG